rnacentral:lncRNA from 1 species
UCGGCACAAGCUAUAAAAGCAAACAAAAAAUGUUUUGUGACAGUAAUUUGUUCCAGUCAACAACAUCUUUAAGAUAAAGAAAUUCUUGGCUUUUCCACAUCAAAAGGCAGCACGCCGUGGCCUCUCCUCAGCAACAUUAACUCUUAGUGCCCGACCAUCGAAACUCUAUGAAUAAUAACAAAGCAGUAGUUACUGGAUGAAAAAAUUGAUCAAGAAAGCAAGAAUGACAAAAUCAAAGGAAUGGAGUUCAUAGCUGGUUUUUUAAAAUUAUUUCCUACCAUAACAUGAGUUAUACACUAAUCAUAAUCGAUUGGGAUAAGUGAGAAGGUGUUGGAUAGCAAAAAAAUAUUUGAUUAAUCAAACUCAUGAUCAAUUUUAUUUAAUGCAAUCGCGUACAGGAACGCUUCCAAUAAUGGACCUUAUUAAAUUGUGCCAUACAACUAUUGUCGGGUAAAGCAGGUUCCUUCAUCAUUAACAUUGAAUCAACUAGUUUAGGCACAAAGUCUCAAUUUUGGACCAAGAAUUAUGCUUUGCAUACUUGGCAUCUACUUGGGCAGAUAUUAACAUCAGUAUACACAAUUGGCGAAAUUAAGUGGACUCACCUGUCCAUCAAGAGCAGCAAUUGCAUCAUCCAUUUCAGACUGUGCUGCCAUUUUAACAAAGCCAAAACCACGUGACCGUCCAGUCUCUCUAUCAUACACCACCCUUGCUUCCAGCACUUUACCAUGUUCACUAAAAAUUUGCCCUAGGCGGCCAUCAUCCACUUGCCAAGGCAAAUUGCCAACAUAGAUCCUUAAAGAUGGUUCAAAUU